UACUGGGGGAGCAAGCGUUGUUCGGAUUUACUGGGCGUAAAGGGCGCGUAGGCGGCGCAACAAGUCACUUGUGAAAUCUCCGGGCUUAACCCGGAGCGGCCAAGUGAUACUGUCGUGCUAGAGUGCGGAAGGGGCUACUGGAAUUCUCGGUGUAGCGGUGAAAUGCGUAGAUAUCGAGAGGAACACCUGCGGCGAAGGCGGGUAGCUGGGCCGACACUGACGCUGAGGCGCGAAAGCCAGGGGAGCGAACGGG
rnacentral:rRNA from 1 species